GACGAACGCUGGCGGCGUGCUUAACACAUGCAAGUCGAACGGAAAGGCCCUGCUUUUGUGGGGUGCUCGAGUGGCUAACGGGUGAGUAACACGUGAGUCACCUGCCCUUGACUUUGGGAUAACUUCAGUAAACUGGGGCUAAUACCGGAUAUUAGCUCCUGCUGCAUGGUGGGGGUUGGAAAGUUUCGGCGGUUGGGGAUGGACUCGCGGCUUAUCAGCUUGUUGGUGGGGUAGUGGCUUACCAAGGCUUUGACGGGUAGCCGGCCUGAGAGGGUGACCGGCCACAUGGGGACUGAGAUACGGCCCAGACUCCGACGGGAGGCAGAAGUGGGGAAUAGUGGACAAAGGGCGGAAGCCUGAGGCAGCAACGCCGGGUGCGGGAUGACGGACUUCGGGUUGUAAACAGCUUUCGCCUGUGACGAAGCGUGAGUGACGGUAAUGGGUAAAGAAGCACCGGCUAACUACGUG
rnacentral:rRNA from 1 species